rnacentral:rRNA from 1 species
GACAGAGGAUGCAAGCGUUAUCCGGAAUGAUUGGGCGUAAAGCGUCUGUAGGUGGCUUUUAAGUCCGCCGUCAAAUCCCAGGGCUUCAACCCUGGACAGGCGGUGGAAACUACCAAGCUGGAGUACGGUAGGGCAGAGGGAAUUUCCGGUGGAGCGGUGAAAUGUGUAGAUAUUGGAAAGACCACCGAUGGCGAAGGACACUCUACUGGGCCAUGACUGACACUGGAGAGACGAAAGCUAGGGGAGCAAAUGGGA